AGUCACUGACAUUAGAUACCCGCGUAGUCCCAGCCGUAAACUAUGCGCGUUAGGUGUAUCGGUGACCACGAGUUACCGAGGUGCCGAAGGGAAACCGUGAAACGUGCCGCCUGGGAAGUACGGUCGCAAGGCUGAAACUUAAAGGAAUUGGCGGGGGAGCACCGCAACGGGAGGAGCGUGCGGUUUAAUUGGAUUCAACACCGUAAAACUCACCAGGGAAGACUGUUACAUGGAAGCCGAGAUGAAGACUCUGCUAGAUUUUCAG
rnacentral:rRNA from 1 species